rnacentral:lncRNA from 1 species
CUAAAAACUCUCAAUAAAUUAGGUAUUGAUGGGACGUAUUUCAAAAUAAUAAGAGCUAUCUAUGACAAAUUCCUUCCACACAAAUGUAGGACAUAGAACACACCUUGGGAAACACUGAAGUUGGAAAGUUCUCAAGUAAUAAUAAUAGCGAUAAUAAAGAACAGUUAUACAAAGCAGCUAUCAUUUAAGUAAGAGGAAUCUUUACUUUAUUUUUUACAAUAGAGUUCAAUAUAAAAAGCUGGGAAGGGGCCGGGCGCGGUGGCUCACGCCUGUAAUCCCAGCACUUUGGGAGGUCGAGGCGAGCAGAUCACAAGGUCAGGAGAUCGAGACCAUCCUGGCUAACACGGUGAAACCCCAUCUCUACUAAAAAUACAAAAAAUUAGCCGGGCGUGGUGGCAGGCACCUGUAGUCCCAGCUACUCGGGAGGCUGGGGCAGGAGAAUGGCGUGAACCCUGGAGGCAGAGCUUGCAGUGAGCCGAGAUCAUGCCACUGCACUCCAGCCUGGGCGACAGAGUGACAC